rnacentral:rRNA from 1 species
AAUUGGAGGGCAAGUCUGGUGCCAGCAGCCGCGGUAAUUCCAGCUCCAAUAGCGUAUAUUAAAGUUGUUGCAGUUAAAAAGCUCGUAGUUGAAUUUCGGGAUCAAUAUUUCGGUCAUGCCGUUGGUAUGCACUGUUAUCAUUGAUUUCUCACCUUCUAAAGAACCGUAAUGCCAUUAAUUUGGUGUUACGGGGAAUUAGGACUGUUACCUUGAAAAAAUUAGAGUGUUUAAAGCAGGCUCACGCUUGAACACAUUAGCAUGGAAUAAUGAAAUAGGACAUCCGAUUCUAUUUUGUUGGUUUCUAGGAUCGAUGUAAUGAUUAAUAGGGAUAGUUGGGGGCAUUAGUAUUCAAUUGUCAGAGGUGAAAUUCUUGGAUUUAUUGAAGACUAACUACUGCGAAAGCAUUUGCCAAGGAUGUUUUCAUUAAUCAAGAACGAAAGUUAGGGGAUCGAAGACGAUCAGAUACCGUCGUAGUCUUAACCAUAAACUAUGCCGACUAGGGAUCGGAUGAUGUUAAUUUUUUAAUGACUCAUUCGGCGCCUUACGGGAAACCAAAGUGU